rnacentral:rRNA from 1 species
UACGUAGGGUGCGAGCGUUGUCCGGAAUUACUGGGCGUAAAGAGCUCGUAGGUGGUUUGUCGCGUUGUUCGUGAAAACUCACAGCUCAAACCUGUGGGCGUGCGGGCGAUACGGGCAGACUGGAGUACUGCAGGGGGAGACUGGAAUUCCUUGGUGUAGCGGUGGAAAUGCGCAGAUAUCAGGAGGAACACCGGUGGCGAAGGCGGGUCUCUGGGCAGUAACUGACGCUGAGGACGAAAGCGUGGGGGAGCGAACAGG